rnacentral:rRNA from 1 species
UCCGGCUGAUCCCGCCGGAGGUGAUCGCUAUCCGAAUUUGACUAAGCUAUGCAAGUCUUGGGUUAAACCAAGGCGGAAAGCUCAGUAACACGUAGUUAAUCUGCCCUUAGGUUCGGUUUAAUCCCGGGAAACUGGGGCCGAGAACCGGAUAAUUAAGAGAUACUGGAACGUUCUUUUAUUGAACUAAGGAUGAGACUGCGGCCCAUUAGGCUGUUGCUAGGGUAAUGUCCUGACAAACCUAUAAUGGGUACGGGCCUUGAGAGAGGAAGCCCGGAGAUGGAUUCUGAGACAAUAAUCCAGGUUCUACGGAGCGCAGCAAGCGCGAAACUUUCACAAUGCACGCAAGUGUGAUGGAGAAAUUCGGAGUGCAUUCUCAACAUGAGGAUGCUUUUCUGGAGUCUAGACAGCUCUGGGAAUAAGCGGUGGGUAAGACAGGUGCCAGCCGCCGCGGUAAUACCUGCGCCGCAAGUGAUCACCACGUUUAUUGGGUUUAGAGCGUUCGUAGCCGGUUUGGUAAGUCUCUAAUGAAAUCCCAUGGCUAACUAUGGGGCUUGUUGGAGAUACUGCCAGACUUGGGACCGGGAGAGGCCAAGGGUAUUAUUGGGGUAGGGGUAAAAUCCUAUAAUCCCAAUAAGGCCACCUGUGGCGAAGGCGCUUGGCUAGAACGGAUCCGACGGUGAGGGACGAAAGCUAGGGGAGCGAAGCGGAUUAGAUACCCGCGUAGUCCUAGCUGUAAACGAUGCCCGCUAGACAUUGGAAAUCUCAUGUGGGUUUCCAGAGUCGUAGGAAAACCGUUAAGCGGGCCACCUGGGGAGUACGGUCGCAAGGCUGAAACUUAAGGGAAUUGGCGGGGGAGCACACAAGAGGUGGAGGCUGCGGUUUAAUUCGAUUCAACGCGGGAAACCUCACCAGUGGCGACAGCAGGAUGAAGGUCAGAUUAAAGGUCUUACCAAACGCGCUGAGAGGUGCUGCAUGGCCGUCGUCAGUUCGUGUCGUGAGAUGUCCUCUUAAGUGAGGUAACGAACAAGACCCGUGUCCUAUGUUACUAUCGCAUCUUUCCGGGUGUGAGUACUCAUAGGAGACCGCUGCUGAAAAAGCAGAGGAAGGUGCGGUCGACGGCAGGUCCGUAUGGUCUAAAUCCACUGGGCUACACGCGGCCUACAAUGGUUGGGAUAAUGGGACGUCACUCCGAAAGGAGGAACUAAUCCUUAAACCCAAUCCUAGUUCAGAUCGAGGUUUGCAACUCAGCCUCGUGAAGGCGAAAUCUCUAGUAGUCGCUUGUCACUAUCCAGCGACGAAUAUGUUCCUGCUCCUUGCACACACUGCCCGUCA